rnacentral:rRNA from 1 species
UACGUAGGGGGCAAGCGUUGUCCGGAUUCAUUGGGCGUAAAGCGCGUGUAGGCGGCUCGAUAAGUCCGUUCUGAAAGUCCAGGGCUCAACCCUGGGAUGCGGAUGGAUACUGUCGAGCUCGAGUCCGGAAGAGGCGAGUGGAAUUCCUGGUGUAGCGGUGAAAUGCGUAGAUAUCAGGAGGAACACCUGUGGUGUAGACAGCUUACUGGACCAUUUCUGACGCUGAGACACGAAAGCGUGGGUAGCAAACAGG